rnacentral:misc_RNA from 1 species
UACUCACUGGCAGGAGGCGGAGAG